GGGGCCCGCUGUGAGGGGGGCAAAAAGCGCGGGAGGGCGGUGAAGUGGGAGGGCGGCGGUUCCCCCCGCCUCCACAGCCAAAAACCACCGGGAAACGCGGGCUGCAGGGGCCUGGCCCUCCCCCGCACGGCUCGCUGGAGCUGUUGGAGAUCGCCCUCCUGCGCUGCUUCCGGAGAGGACGAGAUGAGCCCUCACAACCCUGUGGUGUCCACCGAGCCCCCGGCUCAGACGACCGGCGAUUCCAAAGAUGACUUCAAGGGACAGUUGCAACAUCUCACCUCAAUCUCUUUUUGGAGUACCGGCCUCUCUUUGGUCACAUUUUGCCUCCUAGUGGAAAGAACACCGACACAGGAAAACCUGCAUCAGAAAAAAACCCGUGAGUGCUGUUUUCUUGUAAGAGAGAAACAAUAAUUGUUUGCAAACAGUUGAGAUUAUUAAAAUUGAAGGGUAGAUUGCCUAGAGAAAUGGAAUUCAGAGUUUCUUAGUCUCUCAUCUGAAUCACAGUAGAAAAAAACGCUCACUGUUUUUAUUCCAGCCACUGCUAUUGCUUUCUUCCACUGCUCAUUUUCACAAGACCAAACCAGGUUAAAUAAAAACAAACAUAUACAAAUCAUUUAAGCCACCCAUAGUCACUACACAGCAACCUCACUUCUAGCACACCUCUCCCCACCCCAAUUCAGUACAUCAAUCCUUCAGUUUGUAACAGGUAAUUACAUAGGAAAGGGCAAAAGGAAACAUCUCCUGUUUGAUUGAAAUCAGAAGUGUUUGUCCUGUAUUGGGAGACUAUACCUUCUUUACCGCCCAAGAUGAAAAGCUGAAGACCAGUGCACAGGAAAUUAUUUCAUAGCUAUGUAACAUCCAAGAACAACCAGUUCCAGAGCCAGACAAACAAAAAAAGCACCAAGAAAAACUAACCCCCUCAAAAUAUUAGUAUUCUAUCAUCCCACAGCCCCUCUCCAAGAGGAGGAAAAACACAAGUUUCUGCUUAUGAACCCUGAACUUUUUCCAAUUAGGCUGAGAAGGAAAGAUUAUUUAAAUAAUAAAUGCUGGAAUAGAAAUUACAGUCCUGCCUCAACAGAACACCAAAGCAAAGCAGAAUGUUGCAGCGUAUUUGACAUGUUUUCAAGGCAUUUCUCAGCAGAAAAAUGAUGAAGAGACUUCGGCCACAGAACUUGCCUUCACCUCAGCAUUGUACCAGCCAGGUAGCCCCAUUCCACUGCACCUUACCUGUUGACAGUACUACCACUGUGCUUCGGAGCACGGUUGUAAUUUUGCAGAAACUAACUGCAUACGUGGUAGCUGUUGGCAUUUAGGCAGCGUCACUGGCUUCAAGACAAGACACUAGAGAACACAAUUCCUUUUAGUCCAGUAUUCAAGAGCUGAGAAUGGAGGAUUUGCAUUGGUUUGGGUACACUGCAGGAGACCACUCAAAUGGAACGGCUGCUUUUCCAUGACUGUGUUGGCAGAGGUCAGAACUACCCCGACGCCCACCCUGCCUGGGACAAGGCCUGGAAACCACAGCACAGCAGCUACCAGAAAGGGGCACCCUUCAACAUGCAGCAGGGAAGAGAGCAGUAGCUUCAAAAAUACCUGUAAAUGAAGAGGGAAAGACGAUAAAAAGCAACCUGACAAAGUGUAUUCUAUGCAUAAUUUUAUUAAUAAAAUAUAAGAUUUACAGAAUAUGUCAAUAGACAGUGUGCUUAGAGAAUUAUCUAGUUGGAUAGUAUGACACCAAAGUCAGUAGCUGGUCUUAGUGAGGAUAAAUUAAACCUCAGAUGACAUGCCAGGGAUCACCGCUACCGACAAAACAAAAAAACUUUCCCCAGACUAGCUUUAAACCCCUAAUUCCAUCCCAACAUGCACAGCUGAGGUCCGAGAGGCAGUUUCGCUUGAAUGGAGUAUUGCUAGAAGGCUGCACUUUGUUCUAUGUGAAAUCUACCUGUCUGGUUCUUCACAUCCUCACUUCCUUUGUGUCUGUGCUAAGCAACUUCUCAGGUAUUUAGUGCAUCAUUCGGGAUACAGGUACACACAAGAGCAGCAGUCUUAAUGCCACGACCCUCAGUCUUCCCAAAAUAGCAGUCAUUACACCUACCCGUCCUUCACAAAACAGAGAUGAAUUUUACCAGCUCCGAUGCAAAAGCAGCAUCUAAUUACCUCUUUGCCCGUGUGAUAAGAAUAAACCUCGGCCCUGAUGCUGUAAACACCUAUACACAUGAUUAACAUUACUCAACAAGUUGCUUCCUUAACAAUUAGCAAGUAUAGUCACAUUUGAGUAAAAUUAGUCACAUGCUAUGUAAGUAGUAGUAGGGCCUACUAGUUCAUUCACCCACUGGAAAACAGUUGCUGUCCCUGGGGCAGUUUAUUUUUACAAGGCUAACAGGUGAAGGAAAAAAGUUAAAAUCCUUACAAAGGCUCAUGGUCAGGCAUGCAUGGUACAAGACAAAUACUGUAUUUAAGAGAACCAGAUCUAAUAAAUAUUAGAAUUUUUACAUUUUCAAACCACUGCACAAGGACUUAAAGAAAUUAAAGUAUGAUUGCAAUAGUAGUCUUGUUAACAACCUCUAACCCAGCCAUAAUUUUACAGCAGAAACACUAUCACAGUUGAUCAAAUAAUAGAGGCAUUAUAAUAACUACCUAUAACUAAGCCACAGAAAUAAUUUAAAUAUAGGUAACUAAAAAGUGAAAAUUCUCCCAAGUCAAGGUAAGUUCACUACAACUUUAAACUUCAUUCUGAACACUUCUGUGAAGGAAGAGUAAACCUAAAAGCACAAUUAGCAAAAAAUAUCUGGAGGUAAAAACUCAUGAGCCUUAUAAAGCAUCAAUAUCUAGUUCAUCUUUGGAUAAGCCUUAUUUGCUGAAGAGUUUAAAUCUCUCAAAUAACUAUGAACACUUAUUUCAUGCAGCUUCUGUACGCCACGUAUUUUCUGAUUGUUGCACCAUUUAACAUUUCUGUAAGUGCAAUAACUUUGCAAAGCCAAAAGCCGGAAGAAAUACUUGCGUGGUAAAACUACAUUUCCACUCAGAUACCGAUAGCAAUAAAAUACAGAAAAUAGAGCAUCUCAGAAUGCAGUGAUUAUCUCUGUAAUCACUUGGUAUUUUGUACUACAUAACAUCAUACUGCCAGACAAGAAUUCAGACAACUUUUUAAAAAGCCACAGGGGACUUCGUACUCUAAACAAGGCAUUAAAGGUAUUGUCUCUUAAACAAGGCAUUAAGGAAACCAGGACAAAACUCAACAUUAAGACGUUAGUCCCAUUAUAUGGAUUUUAAAACCUGAAAACUCUAUUCCUGUUCCAAAUUAAGGAAUAGUUUUUUAAAAAGGAGCCUUCAAGGAUACUGGAGCAGUAACUGACCUGUUCAGAUUAUGGUUUCGAAGUGGAAGUGGUCACUGCACACUACAGUUGGUAUUCUCGUCAUUCAUGAAUGAAUGCAGACACUUAUGAAAUCCCUCCC